CCUACGGGAGGCUGCAGUGGGGGAUAUUGCACAAUGGGGGGAACCCUGAUGCAGCGACGCCGCGUGGGUGAAGGAGCGUUUCGGCGCGUAACGCCCUAUCGGCAGGGAAGAAGGAGGACGGUACCUGCCUAAGAAGCCCCGGCUAACUACGUGCCAGCAGCCGCGGUAAGACGUAGGGGGCAAGCGUUAUCCGGAUUUACUGGGUGUAAAGGGGGCGCGGACGGCAGCGCAAGCCAGGAGUGAAAGCCCGGGGCCCAACCCCGGGACAGCUCUUGGAACUGCGCGGCUGGAGUGCAGGAGGGGCAGGCGGAAUUCCUGGUGUAGCGGUGAAAGGCGUAGAUAUCAGGAGGAACACCGGUGGCGAAGGCGGCCUGCUGGACUGCGACUGACGUUGAGGCCCGAAAGCGUGGGGAGCAAACAGGAUUAGAUACCCCGGUAGUC
rnacentral:rRNA from 1 species